AGAGUUUGAUCAUGGCUCAGGAUGAACGCUAGCGGCAGGCCUAAUACAUGCAAGUCGAGGGGUAAGGUUUACUUCGGUAAACACACGACCGGCGCACGGGUGAGUAACGCGUAUGCAACCUACCUAUAACUGGGAGAUAGCCCCGAGAAAUCGGGAUUAAUACCCCAUAAUAAUACUUUUUGGCAUCAUUUAGUAUUUAAAGCUCCGGCGGUUAUAGAUGGGCAUGCGUGACAUUAGUUAGUUGGUGAGGUAACGGCUCACCAAGACCACGAUGUCUAGGGGUUCUGAGAGGAAGAUCCCCCACACUGGUACUGAGACACGGACCAGACUCCUACGGGAGGCAGCAGUAAGGAAUAUUGCGCAAUGGAGGAAACUCUGACGCAGCCAUGCCGCGUGAAGGAUGACGGCCUUAUGGGUCGUAAA
rnacentral:rRNA from 1 species